rnacentral:lncRNA from 1 species
GUUGGGUUUAUUGUUUGGAAAAAAAUGGAAGUUUUAGACCACAGAUAAAAUAUUUUGGUUGAAAAGCAAUUUUUGGUUAAAAAUAUGUGGAGGAAAACAAUUCAAACACCUCUAAUUGAAUUUUGACUUGUUACUUUUAUUGCAGUGACAUCUAUACCACAUCAUAUAAGAUGGUGUAGAAAUACAGAAUGUAAAUAUGUCUGGUAGAGUAAUGCACCAGUGCUUGUAAAAGUCAAGGCGCAGAUGAGAGAAAAAGAUCUGUUGAUUUAUUCAUCCCUCUUUUUAUUUCAUCUUUGUUCAUCACGGGAAGGAAUCUGCCAAAUGGAAAAAGGAAGAUCUCUUUGAGAGCAAAAUAGAGUUUUCAAGCUUCCUCGAACCACGUACUGUGAAUAGAAAGUAUGUAUCAAGCUAGGGAAAAAAACAGGAACCUGUCAGUACCUCCUUCCCAUGUUCUAUUAGAAUCUGUUCACAGAAUAACAGCACUUUUUUUACACCAUGCUCUACUUUCAUCUUUCCUCUUAAGCUUUUUGGAGCACCACUACCCUCAGCUGCUCUAACACCAGCAUGAGGUGUGAAGGGGACCAUCGCUCAUUGCAGUCGCUCUGCAGAUAGCAGUGUUGCCCAUUUGCGUGACAAGUGAAGCUGUGCAACCCUUUAAGGCUUAAAUUCUGCAUCUCAGCAGCCAAAAUGUGUGGCUAAUGAAUCCCCAUUGCCGGCAAAGGGUGCGUAGGAUUGGGAUUCUCAGCCCACAGGAUGAACCGAGAAGUGGAAGGUGGAGAUGGUGGCUGAAGUCUGCCAAGAUUCAGAGGAGCGCAGCAGCGUGCCAGACCUUCUCUGGAUCUGAGCGUAUCAGCUUGAUGUUCAGAAAGGUUCUGAAAUCCAACAUUAAAAAACUGAACAAAGACAGUCGCAGAGGACUACACUGAGGAGGACAAAAUCAAAAGCACAGCCACAAAAUGCCACUGCAGAUAAAGAUCUAGUGAUUAAUGAGGGCCAUGAAUGAGUCAAUAGUGUGAUGUCGUUGAGGAAAAGAGAUAAACGUAAUUCUAGAUUCUCUUGAAUCGUCUGCUAGCAACACUAUAUGUAAGACAGGAGAUAAUUAGCAUGCUCUUCUUGGCACUGGUGAGGACUCAGCUAGAAUACCGUAUUUUAAUCUGAGGCAGCAGAAUUUAACAAGGAUGUAGAUAAACUGGAAACAGAGAAAAUCAGCAGAGAAAAUCAACAAGGACAUGGUUUGGAGUAACUGGAUUCCUAUAGAAAAAUUGAAAGAUUAUUUGUUUUAAUAUAGAAAAUUAAAGGUUAUGUGGGAUUCAAC